AACGAACGCUGGCGGCAUGCCUAACACAUGCAAGUCGAACGAGACCUUCGGGUCUAGUGGCGCACGGGUGCGUAACGCGUGGGAACCUGCCUUUAGGUUCGGGAAUAACUCAGAGAAAUUUGAGCUAAUACCGGAUGAUGUCUUCGGACCAAAGAUUUAUCGCCUUUAGAUGGGCCCGCGUAAGAUUAGCUAGUUGGUGGGGUAAAGGCCUACCAAGGCGACGAUCUUUAGCUGGUCUGAGAGGAUGAUCAGCCACACUGGGACUGAGACACGGCCCAGACUCCUACGGGAGGCAGCAGUGGGGAAUAUUGGACAAUGGGCGAAAGCCUGAUCCAGCCAUGCCGCGUGCAGGAUGAAGGCCUUCGGGUU
rnacentral:rRNA from 1 species